CGGGGUGGGAGAGCACGAAGAACACGGUGAUUCGUUCACCGUGUUUAGACACGGUGAACGAAUCACCGUGUUCAACUUGAAUACCUGGCCCAGCCCCUGCCCGCGUGGCUCUGACGUGGCGCUGGCGUGGCAGGGCCAGGGCCAUUUUUGCAAAUAAAUUUUACACAGGGCUAUUUUUGCAAAUAAAAUUUGUCAGGGGGCUAUUUGCAAAAAAAGCCCAAAUAUUAUUUCUUUUUGACAGUUUUUAAUUACUUAUCUGAAGUAAAAAAAAACAAAAGAAAGAAAAAAGAAAGGAAGGUUGAAAAUACCAAUGCAUAAUAUGGGAAAACUUCAAAGAGUGAGGCUACUGUGCUUCUGGAAGUACGGAGCCUUUCGUGCUUUCAGAUCGUUUUUCAUGUUGCGACUUUCGAGAAUUGUCGAUCGGUUCCGUUAAACUUGAUCUAGAGUAUUUGAAGUACUUAGAAAAUAAAGUAUGCGAUUUUUUGAUAUUAUUUGCCUAGUGAACGAAGAGGCUUAAAAUCAACGGCUGAAAAUAAAAAUCUUACAAAAUAUGAUAAUAUGACAUUAAAAUUUUAGAUCAAAGAUAUUGAUCUUGUUUUAUAUGGUAUAAAGAAUUUUUUAUCAAAAUUUUACGUGAUUUGGAUAUUUCUACAUCGUUAAAUUUGCAAACGGCUCACUACGGCCGUUAAAAUUAUUGAUUUUGAGCCCCUUCGAUCACUAGG
rnacentral:lncRNA from 1 species